GACGAACGCUGGCGGCGUGCCUAAUACAUGCAAGUCGAGCGGACCAAAGAGAGCUUGCUCUUUGAGGUUAGCGGCGGACGGGUGAGUAACACGUGGGCAACCUGCCUGUAAGCUUGGGAUAACUCCGGGAAACCGGUGCUAAUACCGAAUACAACAUGGGACCGCAUGGUCCCUUGUACAAAGACCUUGUGUCACUUACAGAUGGGCCCGCGGCGCAUUAGCUUGUUGGUGGGGUAACGGCCUACCAAGGCGACGAUGCGUAGCCGACCUGAGAGGGUGACCGGCCACACUGGGACUGAGACACGGCCCAGACUCCUACGGGAGGCAGCAGUAGGGAAUCUUCCGCAAUGGACGAAAGUCUGACGGAGCAACGCCGCGUGAGCGAUGAAGGUUUUCGGAUCGUAAAGCUCUGUUGUCAGGGAAGAACCGCCGGGAUGACCUCCCGGUCUGACGGUACCUGACGAGAAAGCCCCGGCUAACUCCGUGCCAGCCGCCGCAGUAAGAC
rnacentral:rRNA from 1 species